UGGUGCUUUUGCCAACAGGUGGCCUCGGAA
rnacentral:piRNA from 1 species